ACGAACGCUGGCGGCAGGCUUAACCCAUGCAAGUCGAGCGAGACCUUCGGGUCUAGCGGCGGACGGGUGAGUAACGCGUGGGAACGUGCCCUUCUCUACGGAAUAGCCCCGGGAAACUGGGAGUAAUACCGUAUACGCCCUUUGGGGGAAAGAUUUAUCGGAGAAGGAUCGGCCCGCGUUGGAUUAGGUAGUUGGUGGGGUAAUGGCCCACCAAGCCGACGAUCCAUAGCUGGUUUGAGAGGAUGAUCAGCCACACUGGGACUGAGACACGGCCCAGACUCCUACGGGAGGCAGCAGUGGGGAAUCUUAGACAAUGGGGGCAACCCUGAUCUAGCCAUGCCGCGUGAGUGAUGAAGGCCUUAGGGUUGUAAAGCUCUUUCAGCUGGGAAGAUAAUGACGGUACCAGCAGAAGAAGCCCCGGCUAACUCCGUG
rnacentral:rRNA from 1 species